CAACCACGUUCUCUCCGGCAACGGGCCCGCCCUAACCUGAGGGCGGCUGCAGAGCUGUCCUUUUCUUCACCGGUUCUGGUUUCUUUUCUUCCAAAGUUUCUCUCAUGACAGCUCUUACAAGUUUUCUGAAUACAACCUGUAGAGAAUUGGAGAAGAACUGUGGACCUUCCCUACAGAAAAACGUGCACUCUCAUAGAAGCAGAGUUUUGCAUGGUAUUUCAGGAUAUUUUGAAACUUCUCCAUGUCAAGACCGCCAACCUCAGACCUCUACAUGUGCCUGUGAGGGCAGUGGCCUUCCUUAGACAACCAAGAAAACCAAGACUAUCUCCAGUUUUGAUGACAGAUGUCAGAGGAGGAAAUGCCUCAUGGAUAUGACAACAUUCCUGUUAGGGGAAAACUCUAGAGCUGUAACUAUCAUCACACCUGAGCCUUCUAGAAAAGGCUUCCUGUGUGGAAGCAGGUUUGCUGCCCAUGGUUUAGUCCAGAGGUCUUCACAGUUGGAAGGGAGCCUGGGUAUUUUCCUUCUAUUGUGAUCUUAGGCAGGAAAACCUCCUUUGUGCCUAUGCCAGACAAAGUCAAGACUGGCCUUAGGCCCUGGGGGAUUUCAAAGAGCAGUAGGAAAAUAACUGGACUUGAGUGAGGCCAGCAGGAUAUGGCUGGCCUUGUAACCUCUCCACUUGAGCAAAGCACCUUCCCUGGUACCAUGCUUUGCAGGUUAUAGAAGAGAUCACACAUAAUGAGUCUGGACUCUUUGUGAGUCUUUAGUUAAAAUGUUUGCUUCCUGAAAGAGGAGGAGGAACAGGUCUCCCACAGAAUCUAAAGUAGCCAAACAAAAUGGGACCUUCCCAUAUUAUCUAGUGCUAAGAAGCUGCACUUUGACAAUAUUCAGCCAUUCUAAUUUUUAGCAAGCCCUGAUAGUAAAGCACUGUCAGAAAAUGUGUGUGGGGAAUGGAGAGAUGGCUCAGAGGUUAAGAGCACUGGAUGUUCUUCCAGAGAUCCUGAGUUCAAUUCCCGGCAACCACAUGGUGGCUCACAAGAGCCAGUGACCUCUUCUGGCAUGCAGGUGAAUAUGCAGACAGAGUACUGUAUACCUAAUAAAUAAAUAAAUCUUUAAAAAGAAAGAAAAAAGAAAAAUUUGUGUGUGUCUGUGUUUGUGUGUUUUUCUUUAUCCUACAUGAGAAGGAAGAAGGCAAGAGGAGUAGCUAUGAAUUAAUUCCACAUGAUCAAAACUCUUGUUUAUAUAUGUAAAGAUGUGGCAGUUAAAAAUCAAUGUCAGUUACUAUGACCAAUGCUCUGUCUGAGGUGCUUUUCACAUAUUGACUCAUUUGGUUCUCCCACUACUCUAGAAAGUGAGUACUGUAAUUCCUUUACUCUCUCCAUUUUAUAGAUAAAGAAACUGAGGCACAAAGACUAUUUACUAUAAGAAAAUUAUAACAAAGCACUUAAGCUUGUGAAAGAGGACAAAGACAUCUGGAUUGUGUUAGCAGAAGUAACUUGGUGUGCUCAGGUAAAGCUGACAGGGAAACGCAUGGAAGCAAGUCUGUUGUGUGACAGUCUGCCCAGCCUCACUACAGCUAAAAGAAGAUGCAAAAUACUCUACCUUCUCUAUUUUGCUCCAUGAUUUGCUCUGAGAUUUAGCUCAAAUUCCAUGUCUUCCAGGAAGCCAGUCCUAUCUUUGGCAAAUUGGACACUAAGCCUUGCUCUCCAAUUUUCUAGAAUCUAUUCAAGUCAUCAUCAACUAGUGUGUGCCAGUCUCCUCAGCUCUAAACUGGCUAUAUGAUGACCACAACAGUGAUGUACAAAAAAUAUUUAAUACAUAAAGAUUGUGAUUGGUACAAAACAGCAGCUAUUACUGUUAUUAUCAAUAAUCAUAGUUUUUGAUGUAUUACCUAGAGAUCCAAAUUGUGAUCAUCUUCUUAUGGUUGUCAUUUACCUCUGACUAAACUGUUAAACUCCUAAAUGCCUGUGUGAUGAGGGUGAGGGUACACGUUAUGUAAUUGAAACCAGAUUGCACUUAUUGUACCAAAUAAACAAAAGAACUCAAGGACUUGUUCAGUCUAACACCCCAACUGGUUGGCCUCUACCUGGAGUCCCUCGACUGCAUGGUUAGUUUCUUGGAUUGAAUUCAAGGCAGUAACAGUGACCAGCCUCCUACUCUGAAAUUUAGCAGCCUCAGUUAAUUGUGUUUGGGCUGGAGAGAAGCAGGUGGAUCCUGAACAAAACACAAUGGUUCUCGGAUGUUCAGUAUAAACAUCCUCCCCCAAGAGACAAGUAUCAUGAGAGAGUAGGCAGGAAGAAGCCACAGCCUCAUCAUUUUGUACAUGAGAAUCACAUUUAAGAGUUUCUAACUUCAUCUGUGAACACAUGUCCCUUUUGAAAAAAUAAUGAUAUCACCUAACCUUUCUAGAGGUGCAUCCUCAAAUUCUGUGAUGCCUCUGCCCAUGCUAAAGAAGCACAUUGGUCUGGAGAGGAGGGUACAGGCACAUUUCUAAAGGGUCCUUGAGGUAUUUCCCAAAGCUAUUAUUUCUAGAAUCAAUUGUCUCCCAUUAUUUCGUUUCUUUUUUUUUUCCUUUUUUUUUUUUUUUGUCAGUUUGACACAAGUUGUAAGUUAUUUGGGAAGAGGGACCUUCAAUUGAUAAAAUGACUCCAUAAGAUUUAUCUGUUGGCAAAUCUAUAGACUAUUUUCUUAACUAGCAAUCAACAUGGAGGGCUCAAGCCUUUGUGGGUAGUACCACUUCUGGGUGGGUGGUGAUCCUAGAUUGGGUAAGAAAGCAGGCUGAGCAAAGCCAGGAGCAGGCAAACCAGCAAGCCGCACUACUCCAUGGUCUAGGUGUCAGUUCCUGCCUUGAGUUCUUGCCCUGUCUUCCAACCCUGUUUUCCUCAAGCUGCUUUCGGUCAUGGUGUUUAUCAUGGCAAUAAGAAACCUAAGACACCCUGCAGUCACCUGGUUUAAAGUAAUUUUAUAUUCUUCACUGUAUUAAAUUUGUCAGUGGCAGGCGUAACCCCUAUCUUCAUUGAAGAGACUGAAAUAAUUAAAGGACUAUUGUUAUAAGCCAAACAAGUGGGCAAUGACCUAAGGGCAAGAGUUAAAUUGUCUCCAAAUAUUUCUUUCCAAUAGACAGUCUUCCUCCGUUAGUCCUUCAUUGGUAAGUGAUGUUUCCUGUAAGGUAACUGACCUUUAUUCUUCAGGUAGAGGGCAAGGAAGGCAAAGGCUGUGUGUGAUUAGAGGGUUGGAAACAGACUGCCUCAGAGGAAGUUGGUAUAAUGUGUAAAUGAGGUAAUAUGAGCAAGAUGAGUAGAUAUAAACUUAGAAAAGAUAGUAAAACUCAAACACUUUCAUCUAUUCAAGCUGUAUGGAUAUAAAUAGUACAUAUAACAGACAUAGCACUGAAUAGAUAAAGUAGUUCCAAAAAUUAUAUUUGUAGCAAAGAACUACAAAUUUCUCCAGAGAUACACAAAUGGCCAAGGAGCACAAGAAAAGAUUUUCAUUGUCACUAAGCACCAGGGAAAUGUAAGCAAUAUCACAAUGAGAUAAUAAUGAGAUAAUUAUUCACAUGCAUUGGGAUAGCUGUGUAUUUAAAAACGAGAGAGGGAAGGGGAGCAGGUGUUGACAAGUCUGGAGGAACUGGAGCUCUGUAUACUGUUGGCAGAAAUGUCAAAUGGUGCAGCCAUUACAAAAACAAAAACAGUGAGAUGGACUGGAGUGUAGCUCAGUGAUAUAGCUUGCUUAGCAUAUGCAAAGGUCUGGAUUCAAUUUCUGGGAAUGCAAACAAAACCAAACAAAAAUAUGGUAAUUCCUCUUAAAAAAUAGAAUUACUAUAUGAGUUAACAAUUCUAUAGCUGGGCAUUUACCUCAAGAAAUUAUAUUAGGGUACCAAAAAUCAUAUCCACAUUAGUGUUCACAGACACUUUAUUCACAACAGCCAAAAGGUGAAAAACUUGUAUCUACCAAUGGAUGAGUAGACAGAAUGAAGUACACACACAUAACGUGGAAUGUUAUUCAGUCUUAAUAUAGAGGGAAUUUAUGUCACAAUCUAUUCAUAUCAGUACCUAGAACAACUAAGUUCAUGGAGACAGACAGGAGAGCAGUAGUUGCCUGAGGGGGGGGGUGGUGAGGAACUAUCGUAGGAAGAUACACAGAAUUCUGGAGAGGUUGGCUGCAAGGUUAGCAUGAAUGCAUUCAACAUCACUUGUGUUACUUAGAAAUUGUUAUGGUAGUACUCUCCAUGUGUGUAUUUUAUCACACGUAAAAAUGUUAGUGAAUUCCCCUGCACAAAUGACUACUAUACAAUAAAAUAAAGUUAUCUGACAUUUGAAAAACAACCUUGGGAAUCAUGACUACAAACAUUAAAUUAAGCAGAUAGUGAAGAAGAGAGAAUGGAAAUUAUACUUAGAAGACAUGCUCUACUAUGUGGAAACAAGGGCUUGGAAAUAGCUCUACCAUCCUUUAGAAUGUAUAGGAUGCAGAGCAGAAGUAGAGUAAGUGGGGAGUUAGGUGUUACCGUGUAUAUGUACAGAAAAUCUAAAUGGUCCACACAGGGACAGCUAGCACCUUGGUGCUCAUCAUAUAAAUUGCAAAAUGAGGGCUGAGAGCCACAUAUACAGUUCUGUUGAAACUUGUACUAGAUGCAGGUAGGUCUCAGUUAUCAGAUAAGUACUGCCAGGAUGUGUUAAUAGGGAAAAUCUUUUGGGCAUGGGUAGGGCCUGAAGUGUCCCACUAAGACAGUGGUUCUCAACUUUCCUAACCCUGUGUCCGUUUAAUGCAGUCAUGUUGUGGUGACCUCCCAACCAUAAAAUUACUUUCCUUGCUACUUCACAACUGUAAUUUUGCUACUGUUAUGAAUCAUAAUGUAAGUACCUGUUUUCUGAUGGUCUUAGGCAUCCCCUGUGAAAGAAAGGGUCAUUCGACCCACAGGUUAAGAACCUCUGCACUAGUAGAACCAGUACUUCAAAACCCUCUGACACCAAAGCCAAAAUGCAUCCUAUGGCAGCUAGGAGGGACUGUGCCCCUACAACUUUUGCAAAGACUGUCCGACUAGCGGGAUCCAAGGUAGGGACUCUUGAAACACCAGGAGCCAUAGCUAGAAAUCCUGGAUCCAGGACUGCUAUCUAAGAAAAAUUACUCCAGGGAGCACAAGGAGGCACUACUGUUUGUGGCUUGGGAAGAAAUGUUCUGAGGAAGAAAUGGACAGUGAUGGGAACACCAGAGGAUGACAAUGCUCCACAUGUGUUCUGCGGUGGUAGUCUUUGAGCAAUGUAGUGGUCUUCGUUAUUGGCUCACACGGGAGAGCUGCUCUUUCCAGAUCCUAAUCACAGAUCCUCCACCCAUCUCAAAGGAACACACAAAGAGCUCUCUGGUCAGGAAUGAAACAGACUAACAUCAUAGACCACAGGUAGAAAGAGCAGUUCCUUCUGGAGUAUCACUUGUCUUAGACAGUGACUCUAGUUAAAUUCGAUCCUGAGAACAGUAGACUGCUAAGAAAAAUUCUCUGCAGUUGUCUCUAAACCCUGGGCACAAUAAACUAUCAUUCUGGUACAGAUCUAUGUGAUGCUCCAUUUAAACAAACAAACAAAUAAAUAAAUAAAUGUUCCAACAAGAUGAUAGGUAAAAUUUAAAAAAGGGAUGAUUUUAUUUUUAUCUCUAAUUAGUGAGGUUAAAAUUGGCAUCAGACAUACAUUAACUGUUGCUUGUAUUUUGUCUAUUCAUGUUCGCCUUAAAUGGCUUUGAAAACUUCACUGAGUUAUUUUAUUCUGCAAACUUGUGUAUUUAUGAUUUCUACCACUUUCAAAUGCUCUAAGUUAAAUGGUCCUUUUGAGAUGUAGUUCUAAAAGAUUUAUAAGUCAGAGAUACCCACCUGAUAGCUGCAAGUAAGAAACCAGUCAAUGGAGUAGUCAAAAUAAGUAAGGCAUGUCCUCUACAGCCUAAAGUCUGUCCAAACCAUACCAUCAGCUGUUACCUACAAGGUUCCCUUCACUGCAUUCCCAUAAGAAAACAUUUUACUGUAAAAGAAAACAGCACUUUCCCCUUCAUCUGCAUCCUUACUCCAGGGCCUUGUUACUGCCAGUAACAAGGGAUUUACUGUAACACACAAAAAUUCACACCAUGCCGCAUACAUUCUAACCAAUGUGGCCUGACAAGAAACAGAAAUAAGAAUCACUACCACUAAAAAGAAUGAGAAAAAUAACACAUUAUAGCAAAUAAUUUGUAGUUCACUUUAAAAAUGAAAAAAAAAAAAAACCCAGAAUCUCCUAGAAUUAAUUAGCAGGUUCAAGAAAGACAUAAACUGAAGAUAAAUAUUCAGGCUCCAAUAAUUUUCUAAUAUCUAAGCAAUAGUAAGUUAGAAUAUAUAUUAGGAUAUCCUUGAUAAAAUCCAUAAAACUUAUAGUGAAAAUGUUGGGGAUAUACCUCAACAAUGAAAUACUUGCCUAGCAUUACACAACCUUGGAGUCUAUCCCCUUCCAAAAGAAAAAAUGUAUGCUGGGGAGUGGGGACCAAUAUUGAAAUAUUUUAAAUUAAAAAAAAAAAAAGGUGAUGAUGAACAAUACAAAAUACGACUUGGAAAAACUGAAGGAUGUUAGCAAGUUCCUAUUCAAAUUUUUGUAAAUUUUUGGGGGCAGGGAUCUAAUCAGAUAUCACCAAAGAUUUUCUAAAAAAAAAAAAAAAAAGAGUUAAAAACUCACUUUUGUGGUAUAUAUAAGAAAGAUCUGGCUUGCUGGAUAUUAAAAACAUUGUAAUGUAGAAGCAGAUUUAAAACAGACAAAAGUAUAGUCAACUUGAAGAAAGAAUAUAUCUCUGAAGUAUAUGACCAGACCAUAUAAAAACUUAAUAUAAAUUCAGUAUGCAUUAAAGAGUUACAUGUAAGUAAUAAGAUCAUUUAAAUUUUAGUUGGCUGGUUAAUAUCUGGGCAUUGACAAGGGCUCUUAACAUGAAAACAAGCUUAAGUCUGACGACCUCAAAUAACAACAAAAAUUAUUUAAAAUUGGUUUUGCCCUUUAUGUUCACAAGAUGGGGACUCUUAGUGUCCAAAUCCAAGGCUCAAUAUUAGAAACAGUCUGACCCUGCUAAGCUCCCAGACUACUUACUCAAGUGAGGCCAAUCCAAGACGGCUUCAGGUAUUCAGAGGGGUUGGGGUGGGUAUGG